AUGAGUAAUACGCUGCUCCGAAUCUACCCUUCCGAGCUCAAGAUGCCAUUUGAGCUCAGGAAGUCGAAUACAGGAUGCAUCGAGCUCGUCAACAAGACCGAUCAGCGUGUAGCUUUCAAGGUAAAAACAACGAACCCAAAAAAGUACGCAGUGCGGCCUACCUCCGGCAUCGUGCCGCCAGGGGGAUCCUGCGGUAUCACAAUUACGAUGCAGGCACCCAAGGAGAUCCCCCAGGAUUACCAAUGCAAGGACAAGUUCCUCAUUCAAAGCGUCAUAGUGCAGGAAGGGAUAACGCAUAAGGACAUUGUCCCUGAGAUGUUCGGCAGAGCGCCUGGCAGGGUGGUGGAGGAGUUCAAGCUGCGGGUGAUCUACAUCCCUGCAAAUCCCCCCUCACCGGUGCCUGAGGGAGACGAGGAAGAGAUUGCAGAUAUGGAGGUCGACCAUGAAGUGUUUAGACAAUCCAUGAUCGAUGCUGCAUCUAGGCAAGAAUAUGCAUCUGGACCACAAGCUUCACAUGACAAGGACGCCUCUACGGUUAAGUCAGAAGUUGUUAAAUAUGUAGCUGAAAACAAGAAGCUUCAACAAGAGCUGGAACAGCUUAGCGAGAGAAGGCAGUCUCUUGGGGGUUUCUCACGUACGUUUGUGCUCCUCGUCUUCCUGUUAUCUGUUCUUGUUGGAUACUGGAUGACAGGUCGGAAGGUUUAG
rnacentral:rRNA from 1 species